rnacentral:rRNA from 1 species
UUUCGGGUCCAAACAGGCACACUCGGUCGCAACCCGCGCGCGGGCCGGACGGUGUUGGGCAUUCGUGUUGUGUGCACACCAUGUGUGCGCCCUGAGGGCGCUCCCUUUCGGUACGAGAGAAGUACUGCGAACGAAUAUCUUCUCCCUUGCGCGUCUGUUUGACUCCUUGGUCCGUGUUUCAAGACGGGUGAAGAUACCCCAUUUUCGAUGUCAACAUUGAGCAUCACUGGAAAGCGGCGCACUCGCUGGCGCGCGGGAAAGGGGUCACCUCGCUCGCACGACAGUGUACACCGCUCUACUCCAGCUCACUUCACCAAUCCCCCGGGCCUGCACUUGGUUGCCGCGGCGGUUUUGAGGUCGCCACGGAUAAUGCUGCGGAGGUGGUUUUGACCAAUGAAAUGGAGGUACUUUCAUUGCCAUUGUCACGACUUCAGGUUCUAUGUCACUCUCUUUCCAAAGUGCUUUUCAAACUUUCGCUCACGCUACUUGUUCGCUAUCGGUCUUCCUA